CCUGUUUUCUGUGCAUGCCCGGCCCCCUCUGGGGACCUGGCAGUCGUGCACCAUGAGAAGGGGUGGGCAUAGAGGGCUAGUCAGGCUGGGGGGCUCUGUCUGAUGGACUCUGGCUGUCUGCCUUCCAGGGGAAUGAGAUCAACCUUCAGAAAAGGACUGAGGAAUACCGAGUCAUGAGGGAGAUCCUGCUGCUCCAGGUGGCUGCAAAGAAUUACAACCUAGAGCCCGAGGAGCGAUUUGGGGCCUGGUUCCAGGACAUGGAGCUGCUCAAUGAGAAUGAUAGCUACAGCCUGUCCUGCCAGCUAGGGCUCCAGGCCUAGUUGGCCAGCAGAAUACUCAAGGCCAAGAAGAACCGGCCAUCAUCAAGGUCAGGGCCCCCAGGCCCCAACACCGAGCCCCGUACCAGUGGCCAAUCACAGCCGCAUCCUCAGCAGCGGGGACACAGCUGGGACGCUUGCGAUGCACCGGGCCGGCUCCUCCCACCUGAUGGGUAGGGGAGCAUUGCAAGCUGAUUCCUGGGGCCCCGUGAAGCCCAAGAGAGCGGGGACGACCCCACCCCAGCUCCCUGACAUGUCUACCCCAGCAUCUAGUCACCCAUUGGGGAGGGACAGUAGUUAUGUAUUGUAAAUAAUAAAUGCC